rnacentral:rRNA from 1 species
UACGAAGGGGCUAGCGUUGCUCGGAAUCACUGGGCGUAAAGGGUGCGUAGGCGGGUCUUUUAAGUCAGGGUGAAAUCCUGGAGCUCAACUCCAGAACUGCCUUUGAUACUGAAGAUCUUGAGUUCGGGAGAGGUGAGUGGAACUGCGAGUGUAGAGGUGAAAUUCGUAGAUAUUCGCAAGAACACCAGUGGCGAAGGCGGCUCACUGGCCCGAUACUGACGCUGAGGCACGAAAGCGUGGGGAGCAAACAGG